rnacentral:lncRNA from 1 species
CUCGGAGUAUUAUUUCCAUUAUCAGUGGCAUUCAUGAAUCUUCAUCAUACCUUACUCGAGAUAUCUCUUCUAACAUGUUUUACAGUACUUUUUGUCAAGAAAAAAAAAAGAUACCUCUUCUAACGUAAUUGUCAAGCCAGGUGAAGGAAGGAGUUGGCCUGGAAUCACUGUUUAUGGUGAGUAAUUUCAUACAUUAAGUUAUCUUGUUUUCUUGAUUUGCUUUGAGCUGCAGUAUUGCUUCGCGAACUGACGAUCUUAUGGUUAUGGAAAAGCAGAAAAGGGAAGGAACCCUCUGGUAGACAACUUACGCAGAUCAUUUGUUUAUCAUUGC